rnacentral:rRNA from 1 species
UACGUAGGGGGCAAGCGUUGUCCGGAAUCAUUGGGCGUAAAGCGCGUGUAGGCGGUCCGGUAAGUCCGCUGUGAAAGUCGAGGGCUCAACCCUCGAAUGCCGGUGGAUACUGUCGGGCUCGAGUACGGGAGAGGCGAGUGGAAUUCCUGGUGUAGCGGUGAAAUGCGCAGAUAUCAGGAGGAACACCGAUUGCGAAGGCAGCUCGCUGGAACGUUACUGACGCUGAGACGCGAAAGCGUGGGGAGCAAACAGG